CAGCAGCCGCGGUAAUACGUAGGGUGCGAGCGUUAAUCGGAUUUACUGGGCGUAAAGCGUGCGCAGGCGGCCCGUUAAGACAGGUGUGAAAUCCCUGGGCUCAACCUAGGAAUUGCGCUUGUGACUGGCGGGCUCGAGUACGGUAGAGGGGGGUGGAAUUCCUGGUGUAGCAGUGAAAUGCGUAGAGAUCAGGAGGAACACCGAUGGCGAAGGCAGCCCCCUGGGCCUGUACUGACGCUCAUGCACGAAAGCGUGGGGAGCAAACAGGAUUAGAUACCCUGGUAGUCCACGCCCUAAACGAUGGGUACUAGCCGUUUGGUGCGCGAUAGCGCUGAGUGGCGAAGCUAACGCGUGAAGUACCCCGCCUGGGGAGUACGGCCGCAAGGUUGAAACUUAAAGGAAUUGGCGGG
rnacentral:rRNA from 1 species